rnacentral:rRNA from 1 species
UACGAAGGGGGGCUAGCGUUGCUCGGAAUCACUGGGCGUAAAGGGCGCGUAGGCGGCUUAUCAAGUCGGGUGUGAAACCCCGGGGCUCAACCCCGGAACUGCAUCCGAUACUGCCUUGCUAGAGUACUGGAGAGGAGAUUGGAAUUUUACGGUGUAGCAGUGAAAUGCGUAGAUAUCGUAAGGAAGACCAGUGGCGAAGGCGAAUCUCUGGACAGUUACUGACACUGAGGCACGAAGGCCAGGGGGAGCAAACGGGG